GGUUAAGUCCCGCAACGAGCGCAACCCCUAUUGUUAGUUGCCAUCAUUCAGUUGGGCACUCUAGCGAGACUGCCGGUAAUAAACCGGAGGAAGGUGGGGAUGACGUCAAAUCAUCAUGCCCCUUAUGACCUGGGCUACACACGUGCUACAAUGGUUGGUACAACGAGUUGCGAGUCGGUGACGGCGAGCUAAUCUCUUAAAGCCAAUCUCAGUUCGGAUUGUAGGCUGCAACUCGCCUACAUGAAGUCGGAAUCGCUAGUAAUCGCGGAUCAGCACGCCGCGGUGAAUACGUUCCCGGGCCUU
rnacentral:rRNA from 1 species